AAAGGAUCCAUGCCAAAAACCCCAACAAACAUCAGAUUGGACACCUCACAGUGGACAAAACCCUAACCUUGACUGCUACAUUGACCACUUCAUGGAACGAAUGAACAAUGAAAUAAUC